CUGCGCCACCGCGCCACCACACCCCCCAGGUUCAAAAUGCUGUUGCCUUAUUCGUCAGUCUGCACACCAUGGACCUUCUACUGUAAUGAAGCCAGGAGGUGUGGAAGCCCUGUUGCGUCAACAUGGAUGAGCCAUAGCAGUCAUCAGCCAACACAGAGUCUCAGGUCCCCUGCUGGUACCUGGGUGAGGCUCAGG